UUCAGUGGCGAUAGCUGUGAGGAUACACCCGUACCCAUGCCGAACACGGUAGUUAAGCUCACAAACGCCGAAAGUACUUGGCUGGAGGCGGCCCGGGAGGAUAGGAAGCUGCUGAUU
rfam:Dialister succinatiphilus YIT 11850 genomic scaffold supercont1.1, whole genome shotgun sequence.